ACGCUCGACACCUACGGGAAGCAGCAGUAGGGAAUCUUCCACAAUGGACGCAAGUCUGAUGGAGCAACGCCGCGUGAGUGAAGAAGGUUUUCGGAUCGUAAAGCUCUGUUGUUGGUGAAGAAGGAUAGAGGUAGUAACUGGCCUUUAUUUGACGGUAAUCAACCAGAAAGUCACGGCUAACUACGUGCCUAGCAGCCGCGGUAAUCUGAGCGGGCUGGCAAGGC
rnacentral:rRNA from 1 species